rnacentral:rRNA from 1 species
CAUAUCAAUAAGCGGAGGAAAAGAAACCAACUGGGAUUGCCCUAGUAACGGCGAGUGAAGCGGCAACAGCUCAAAUUUGAAAUCUGGCUCUCUUUGGGGGUCCGAGUUGUAAUUUGCAGAGGGUGCUUUGGCGUUGGUGGCGGUCUAAGUUCCUUGGAACAGGACAUCGCAGAGGGUGAGAAUCCCGUAUGUGGUCGCCUGCCUUCGCCGUGUAAAGCCCCUUCGACGAGUCGAGUUGUUUGGGAAUGCAGCUCUAAAUGGGAGGUAAAUUUCUUCUAAAGCUAAAUACCGGCCAGAGACCGAUAGCGCACAAGUAGAGUGAUCGAAAGAUGAAAAGCACUUUGGAAAGAGAGUCAAACAGCACGUGAAAUUGUUAAAAGGGAAGCGCUUGCAGCCAGACUUGCCCGUAGUUGCUCACCUGGAUUUCUAUCCGGGGCACUCUUCUGCGGGCAGGCCAGCAUCAGUUUGGGCGGUCGGAUAAAGGCCUCUGUCAUGUAUCUUCCUUCGGGAUGACCUUAUAGGGGAGGUGUAAUGCGAUCAGCCCGGACUGAGGUCCGCGCUUCGGCUAGGAUGCUGGCGUAAUGGCUGUAAGCGGCCCGUCUUGAAACACGGACCAAGGAGUCUAACAUCUAUGCGAGUGUUUGGGUGUCAAGCCCGAGCGCGUAAUGAAAGUGAACGGAGGUGGGAACCCUUUACGGGGUGCACCAUCGACCGAUCCUGAUGUCUUCGGAUGGAUUUGAGUAAGAGCAUAGCUGUUGGGACCCGAAAGAUGGUGAACUAUGCUUGAAUAGGGUGAAGCCAGAGGAAACUCUGGUGGAGGCUCGCAGCGGUUCUGACGUGCAAAUCGAUCGUCAAAUUUGGGCAUAGGGGCGAAAGACUAAUCGAACUAUCUAGUAGCUGGUUCUGCCG